rnacentral:rRNA from 1 species
AUGCCCUUAGACUUCACCAAGCACUUCCCGGCCGUGCCGACGGAGUUCAAGCUCAAGACGAACACCGGCUGCUCAUGGAGGGUCACUGUGAGGCUGACGAACAGUAGGGCCACCCUCGAUCAGGGUUGGGCCACCUUCGCCACCGUCCAUCAGAUCAAGAUCGGGUACAUGGUGACCUUCAAGUUGUUGACCCCCGACACGCUCAAGGUCAUCGUCUUCAAUGACGACGACAUUGAAGUGGUGACCAAGUGCGGGAGGCACGACGAGGCCUUCGAUGUGAACGUAUAG